GCGGGUGUAGCUCAAUGGUCAGAGCCCCAGCCUUCCAAGCUGGUUAUGCGGGUUCGAUUCCCGUCACCCGCU
rnacentral:tRNA from 5 species